AGAGUUUGAUCAUGGCUCAGAUUGAACGCUGGCGGAAUGCUUUACACAUGCAAGUCGAACGGCAGCACGGGUGCUUGCACCUGGUGGCGAGUGGCGAACGGGUGAGUAAUGCGUCGGAACGUACCGAGUAAUGGGGGAUAACGCAGCGAAAGCUGUGCUAAUACCGCAUACGCCCUGAGGGGGAAAGUGGGGGAUCGCAAGACCUCACGUUAUUCGAGCGGCCGACGUCUGAUUAGCUAGUUGGUGGGGUAAUGGCCUACCAAGGCGACGAUCAGUAGCGGGUCUGAGAGGAUGAUCCGCCACACUGGAACUGAGACACGGUCCAGACUCCUACGGGAGGCAGCAGUGGGGAAUUUUGGACAAUGGGGGCAACCCUGAUCCAGCCAUUCCGCGUGAGUGAAGAAGGCCUUCGGGUUGUAAAGCUCUUUCAGCUGGAACGAAACGGUACGCUCUAACAUAGCGUGCUAAUGACGGUACCAGCAGAAGAAGCACCGGCUAACUACGUGCCAGCAGCCGCGGUAAUACGUAGGGUGCGAGCGUUAAUCGGAAUUACUGGGCGUAAAGCGUGCGCAGGCGGAUUGUUAAGCAAGACGUGAAAUCCCCGGGCUUAACCUGGGAAUGGCGUUUUGAACUGGCAGUCUAGAGUGCGUCAGAGGGGGGUAGAAUUCCACGUGUAGCAGUGAAAUGCGUAGAGAUGUGGAGGAAUACCAAUGGCGAAGGCAGCCCCCUGGGAUAAUAUUGACGCUCAUGCACGAAAGCGUGGG
rnacentral:rRNA from 1 species